rnacentral:rRNA from 1 species
AGUGAACGCUGGCGGCGUGCCUAAUACAUGCAAGUCGAACGAAUUGGCGCACGGGUGAGUAAUAUAUAGUUAAUCUGCCCUUCACAGCGGAACAACAGUUGGAAACGCCUGCUCAUACCUCAUAGUGUAGGAUGAGACUAUAUCGUAUCAGCUAGUUGGUAAGGUAAUGGCUUACCAAGGCUAUGACGCGUAACUGGUCUGAGAGGAUGAUCAGUAACAUUGGAAGUGAGACACGGUCCAAACUCCGACGGGAGUCAGCAGUAAGGAAUAGUGCGCAAUGGGGGAAAGCCUGACGCAGCAACGCCGCGUGGAGGAUGACACUUUUCGGAGCGUAAACGCCUUUGAGCAGGAAAGCGGUACCGGAUGAAUAAGCACCGGCUAACUUCGUGCCAGCAGCCGCGGUAAUAC